AAUCACUAAAAAUGGUCUCCCUGUUGUAAAUAAGUGAUGGAACUAUACUAUUAUUAGCUUAUUACUUUCAAGUUUCAACUCUGAAGCAAUCAAUUCUCUCGGUGAAAUGUUAGCAAGAACCUCUUUGACAUUUUAACUGAUCAAUUUCUCAACUUAAUGACUAUAACUUCAGACAACUGUUCUCAUUUCCUGAUAAAUAGUAGGCAGUCAAUCUUACAAGUCGAAUUCAUCAAUAAGCAAAAUGAUUAGGUAGUAACCUCCGGACCUAAGGUUUUAUACUUAGGCUUUGAGGUGAGUUUGACGGAUUUUCGACUAUGUUUAGCACCUAUAACAGGUAGCGUUCUGAAAUAAAAGGAGAUCAGAACAGGCAGUACAAGUCUACAUGAAGAAACAAGCAAG
rnacentral:misc_RNA from 1 species